AUUGAACGCUGGCGGCAGGCCUAACACAUGCAAGUCGAGCGGAUGAGGGGAGCUUGCUCCCUGAUUUAGCGGCGGACGGGUGAGUAAUGCCUAGGAAUCUGCCUGGUAGUGGGGGAUAACGUUCCGAAAGGAACGCUAAUACCGCAUACGUCCUACGGGAGAAAGCAGGGGACCUUCGGGCCUUGCGCUAUCAGAUGAGCCUAGGUCGGAUUAGCUAGUUGGUGAGGUAAUGGCUCACCAAGGCGACGAUCCGUAACUGGUCUGAGAGGAUGAUCAGUCACACUGGAACUGAGACACGGUCCAGACUCCUACGGGAGGCAGCAGUGGGGAAUAUUGGACAAUGGGCGAAAGCCUGAUCCAGCCAUGUCGCGUGUGUGAAGAAGGUCUUCGGAUUGUAAAGCACUUUAAGUUGGGAGGAAGGGCUGCUGGUUAAUACCCUGCAGUUUUGACGUUACCAACAGAAUAAGCACCGGCUAACUUCGUG
rnacentral:rRNA from 1 species